rnacentral:rRNA from 1 species
AGUAUUAUCUUCGGAUGAUAUGAGAGUGGCGAACGGGUGAGUAACACGUAAGAAUCUACCUUUAGGACGGGGAUAACUUCUGGAAACGGAUGCUAAUACCCGAUAUGCUGUGGAGUGAAAGGAAUUUCGCCUAGAGAUGAUCUUGCGUCUGAUUAGCUUGAUAGGGUGGUAAUGGCACCCUAUGGCGACGAUCAGUAGCUGGUCUGAGAGGAUGGACAGCCACAUUGGGACUGAGACACGGCCCAAACUCCUACGGGAGGCAGCAGUGGGGAAUUUUCCGCAAUGGGCGAAAGCCUGACGGAGCGACGCUGCGUGAAGGAUGACGGCCUGAGGGUUGUAAACUUCUUUUCUCGAAGAAGAAUCAAUGACGGUAUUCGAGGAAUAAGCAUCGGCUAACUCUGUGCCAGCAGCCGCGGUAAGACAGAGGAUGCAAGUGUUAUUCGGAUUGAUUGGGCGUAAAGCGUCUGUAGGCGGUUUAGAAAGUCUUUUGUGAAAUACUUCAGCUCAACUGGGGCCCCGCAAAAGAAACUGCUAGACUUGAGGGGAGUAGAGGUACAGGGAAUUUCCGGUGGAGCGGUGAAAUGCGUAGAUAUCGGAAGGAACACCAAUAUGGCGAAGGCACUGUACUGGGCUUUACCUGACGCUAAGAGACGAAAGCUAAAGGAGUGAUUAGGAUUAGAUACCCUAGUAAUUUUAGCCGUAAACGAUGGAAACUCACUGCCGAGCCGGUAUUCGGAGCGGUGGUCAAGCUAACGCGUGAAGUUUCCCGCCUGGGGAUUACGCAUGCAAAUGUGAAACUUAAAUGAAUUGACGG